AGUCAAUAGAUACCCUGGUAGUCCAUGCCGUAAACGAUGAUUGCUAGGUGUGGGGGGUCUGACCCCUUCCGUGCCGGAGUUAAACACAAUAAGCAAUCCACCUGGGGAGUACGGCCGCAAGGUUGAAACUCAAAGGAAUUGACGGGGGCCCGCACAAGCAGUGGAGUAUGUGGUUUAAAUUCGAAGCAACGCGAAGAACCUUACCAGGUCUUGACAUCCACCGAAUCCUGUAGAGAUACGGGAGUGCCCUUCGGGGAACGGUGAGACAGGUGGUGCAUGGUUGUCGUCAGCUCGUGUCGUGAGAUGUCGGGUUAAGUCCCGCAACGAGCGCAACCCUUGUCGAAUAGUUGCUACGAAGAGCACUCUAUUCAGACCGCCGUUGACAAACGGAGGAAGGUGGGGAUGACGUCAAAUCAUCAUGCCCCUUAUGACCUGGGCUACACA
rnacentral:rRNA from 1 species